AUGACUGAUUUCAAAGGUUCCCGAAGUUCAUUGUCCUCUUCAUCUGACGUAAGAGCUGCAGAGCAGACAUGGAUAUGGAUGCAUCUGGGAGUGUGUCACAUGGAAACCACACACUUAGCAGAGGUUCAGAAUCUGAGUUCUCAAGUUAUGCAGGCUCUGCCAAGGCCCAGUCUGCCCUGUCCGUGACUGCAGCCCCACCAAUGACCAGGUGUGGUCCCCACAGAGGCCCUUGUAGGUAAGCUGGCAGAGGGUCUAGACUCUGAAUCUUUGAUUGGAAUUUCUAAGCUAUUCUCAUGUUUCUUCCCAGAUCUUGUUAUUGGUUUCUUUUUGUGUGGCAUUGUUAGUGGGAUCAGACCAUUCCUUUCCUUUCCUUUUGCUGUCUUUGCAUUCUUGUUUUUUAUUAUUUUUAAAAGAUUUUAUUUUUCAGUCAGCUCAGCACCCAAUGUGGGGCUCGAACUCACAACCCUGACAUCAAGAGUCACGUGGUCUACCAACUGAGCCAACCAGAUGCCCCUGUAUUCUGGCUUUGUGUUGUGCUGUCUAAAGUGUUUUGAUUGUAAUGAUAAAGAUUGCAGAGCAGACCUCCAGCAUCAGCCCCUGAGCCUGUGGUUUGAGCCAGCCUCACAGACAACUGGUUUGUAGCUCCCAUGGACUGGUGUCUUCUUGGAUAGACAGUUGCUGUGGUCACCAAUGAAACCAGAUGAGGUUGUAUUUCUGUCCCAAUCUUGUGUCCUGAGAGCCUGGCUUUGAUUCAGAGAGAGCAUUUUCUCUGGUUUUCCACUUGCUGGGACUACUGUCAGGUGGGAGCCUGAGACACAAGGUGCAUUCCUACAAGGCUUCAUCAGCUCUCAUAUUCUGGGUCUAGAGCCUCUCCUCCAGGAAGACUCCUGCUUCUGAUACAUACUGUUGUUUAUAACCUGAAGACUUGUGCCUGUCUUUCUCAAUGGCAUAACUUUACCGAGGAUGAUUUGGUCCAGUCUGAGGAACAUAUGGCUUGAAAAAAUUUGUUCAUUUGAGAUUUACAAAAGAAAGGAAAUGAGAUUUCUCAGGCCCAAAUGGGCAGCAUUGCUUGAUUAGUAGGUAGAGCCCUCCAAACUAUAUUCUGAAUAGAAAAUUAUUUCACUUGA
rnacentral:lncRNA from 1 species